AACGAACGCUGGCGGCAGGCCUAACACAUGCAAGUCGAGCGCCCCGCAAGGGGGAGCGGCGGACGGGUGAGUAACGCGUGGGAACGUACCCUUUGCUACGGAAUAGCCUCGGGAAACUGGGAGUAAUACCGUAUGUGCCCUUCGGGGGAAAGAUUUAUCGGGGAUGGAUGAGCCCGCGUUGGAUUAGCUAGUUGGUGGGGUAAUGGCCUACCAAGGCGACGAUCCAUAGCUGGUCUGAGAGGAUGAUCAGCCACACUGGGACUGAGACACGGCCCAGACUCCUACGGGAGGCAGCAGUGGGGAAUAUUGGACAAUGGGCGCAAGCCUGAUCCAGCCAUGCCGCGUGAGUGAUGAAGGCCCUAGGGUUGUAAAGCUCUUUCACCGGUGAAGAUAAUGACGGUAACCGGAGAAGAAGCCCCGGCUAACUUCGUG
rnacentral:rRNA from 1 species